GGGUCGAUGGUGUAGCUGGUUAUCGCAUCUGUCUAACACACAGAAGGUCUUCAGUUCAAACCUGGGUCGACUCA